AGAGUUUGAUCCUGGCUCAGGAUGAACGCUAGCGGCAGGCCUAACACAUGCAAGUCGAACGGUAACAUGAGAGCUUGCUCUUGAUGACGAGUGGCGCACGGGUGCGUAACGCGUAUACAAUCUACCUUUUACAGGGGGAUAGCCCAGAGAAAUUUGGAUUAAUACCCCAUAGUAUAUAUAGAUGGCAUCAUUUAUAUAUUAAAGAUUUAUUGGUAAGAGAUGAGUAUGCGUUCUAUUAGCUAGAUGGUGUGGUAACGGCACACCAUGGCCACGAUAGAUAGGGGCCCUGAGAGGGGGAUCCCCCACACUGGUACUGAGACACGGACCAGACUCCUACGGGAGGCAGCAGUGAGGAAUAUUGGACAAUGGGCGCGAGCCUGAUCCAGCCAUGCCGCGUGCAGGAAGACUGCCCUAUGGGUUGUAAACUGCUUUUAUACAGGAAGAAACACUCCCUCGUGAGGGAGCUUGACGGUACUGUA
rnacentral:rRNA from 1 species